rnacentral:tRNA from 1 species
UGGGAAGUCGUCCAACGGCAGGACACAUGACUCUGGAUCAUGGAAUCAAGGUUCGAAUCCUUGCUUCCCAGCCA